rnacentral:rRNA from 1 species
GGAUCAGCAGGUCGGUCGUGCCACUGGUAUGCACUGGCCUUGCUGAUUCCUCCUUCUUGAUGAGCCGUAAUGCCAUUAAUUUGGUGUUGCGGGGAAUCAGGACUGUUACUUUGAAAAAAUUAGAGUGUUCAAAGCAGGCUGUUUACAGCUUGAAUAUCUUAGCAUGGAAUAAUAGAAUAG